rnacentral:rRNA from 1 species
AGUGAACGCUGGCGGUAGGCCUAACACAUGCAAGUCGAACGGCAGCACAGUAAGAGCUUGCUCUUACGGGUGGCGCGUGGCGGACGGGUGAGGAAUACAUCGGAAUCUACUUUUUCGUGGGGGAUAACGUAGGGACACUUACGCUAAUACCGCAUACGACCUACGGGUGAAAGCAGGGGAUCUUCGGACCUUGCGCGAUUGAAUGAGCCGAUGUCGGAUUAGCUAGUUGGCGGGGUAAAGGCCCACCAAGGCGACGAUCCGUAGCUGGUCUGAGAGGAUGAUCAGCCACACUGGAACUGAGACACGGUCCAGAGUCCUACGGGAGGCAGCAGUGGGGAAUAUUGGACAAUGGGCGCAAGCCUGAUCCAGCCAUACCGCGUGGGUGAAGAAGGCCUUCGGGUUGUAAAGCCCUUUUGUUGGGAAAGAAAAGCAGCAGGUUAAUACCCCGCUGUUCUGACGGUACCCAAAGAAUAAGCACCGGCUAACUUCGUG